ensembl:lncRNA
AAAUGAGUCAGAUGGGAGGAAGCUGGGCUGGAAAUACAGCUGCAAGCCUCUGUUGACAGAUGGAUGCCUUCUUAAUCACAGCCUGCGUGGGUCUCUCACAGGACAUCCACUAAGAGGAGGGGGAAAGUGAAGAAGGAAGCUCUUUCCGGUCACUUUUUGAGUGUCAGCAAAAUGCAUCCACACAGAAGACCUACCAGUGACGGAGUCAAGUGAUGACUCCUGCUCUCUAGCUCAAAUGCUGGCCAUGGCUGUCUGUGAACACGGCCCAGAGUAGAGCUGCAGGCACUGAGCAAGUGUGGGGAGAGGCGGUGGCAUGCUGGAGCAGCUCACAGUGCCUACAAAAGUUGAUUGUGCCUGUCUCUUCCCGACUCUGGUUCAGGAGUGUCAGGAGAAAAUAGAGCUGCAGCAAGCUGAUCAGAAGUUGCACGUCACAGCAGCCUGACAAUCAAGUGAGAGAGGCUGCUACUGAUGGACCAUCAGUGACCAUGGAGAUUCUGAAUCCCUGAAGCACUUGACAAAAGAAAUCUUGUGGGUGAUGUGAAAAUCCACGUAUGCCCAUGAGAGUAUAUUGAGCGCAUGAAUGUGUGCUUAGUGUGUCAUUAAGAAGAGAAGUUUGUGAGCCACUGUUUUGGAGUAAGAAAUAGCACAGAAGACUUCAAUUUUGGCCUGAAAUUGCUUCUUUAGUCGCUGGCCAUCAGAUAUGUGGAAAGCAUCAUGUUUCACUUUGACCUAGAUUUGUAAUGACAGGAUGCACCAAAUUCCUUCACUGAAGUGAAACCUUAAAGAAUCUUUAAGUAGAACUUGAAAGUGUCAAAGGGCAUUUUACCGUAGUUAGUGUACAUUUCUUGACAAGAUAAGGAAUUUAUUCUUCUUGAACCACCAAGACUGCAGAAGAGGAAAUCUCUGUUUGUUAUACACCCCCUUACCACUUGACUGUUGAGUCAGGAGGAAGUGGGGAGGUCUUUACGAAAGAUGGGAAGACUUUGAGGGUGAGCUCUGUGUGUUUAUUGUUGCUUGUUGUGGACCCUGCCUUGCCCUCUACUUAUGUGCUAAGUGAAGUAGAAUGUGGGUAGCAUGUGGUUUUUAGCUAAAUUAGAUUGUCCAUGGGAAUCAGCUUCUUUGGCCUAUAACUGAGACUUUAAAUACCAUUUUAUAAAAACUGAAAAAGAAG